rnacentral:misc_RNA from 1 species
UGUGGGAGCGAGCCUGCUCGCGAAGGCGUCGUGUCAGUCAAUUCCAUAUCGACUGGCAGAAAGCUUUCGCGAGCAGGCUCGCUCCCACA